GGCCUCAGUGGACUGGGGUAGAACCGGGAGACCUGCACGCAGGCAGGUGAGGCCCAGGUGGGUUUGGGGCCUCAGCCCUUCUUCACCCCACUCCCCCCCAGGCUGCGGGGUCCCCGCCAUCCACCCUGUGCUCAGCGGUCUGUCCAGGAUCGUGAAUUGGGAGGACGCCGUCCCCGGCUCCUGGCCCUGGCAGGUGUCCCUGCAGGACAAAACCGGCUUCCACUUCUGCGGGGGCUCCCUCAUCAGCGAGGACUGGGUGGUCACCGCUGCCCACUGCGGGGUCAGGUGAGGACCGGGCAGCCCCGGGCUCCGCUUCCAGCCCCGGUCGGGUGGGAGGGGAGCAGGGCAUGUUCUCUCACCCACAACGCUCUGCCCAGGACCUCCGACGUGGUCGUGGCUGGGGAGUUUGACCAGGGCUCUGAUGAGGAGAACAUCCAGGUCCUAAAGAUCGCCAAGGUCUUCAAGAACCCCAAGUUCAGCAUUCUGACUGUGCGCAAUGACAUCACCCUGCUGAAGCUGGCCACACCUGCCCGCUUCUCCCAGACAGUGUCCGCCGUGUGCCUGCCCAGUGCGGACGACGACUUCCCCGCGGGGACACUGUGUGCCACCACAGGCUGGGGAAAGACCAAGUACAAUGGUGAGAGGCCGCGGGGCUGCCUCUGGGGUCUGGGCUGCCUGGCUGUGGAGUCCCCCUGUGACCAUUUGGCUCUUCUUGUUUGGCUCUAAAUUCCAACAAACUCCUAACUGCCCGUUCGUUAUUGAAAAUCUUCUGAAUUUAAAAUCCCCCAAAUGCAAAUAAAAUCCAGGUCGGAUCAUGAGGAGCCUGCACAGGGAGCUUCUGAGCAGCGCCCAGCCGGGUGAGCCCUGCCCUGGCUGACCUGCCUGGAGUCGCAGCAUGGGGCUCCCACCCGGGCAGGGCCGAGGCCCCCUUGUCCCACAGGCGCUUCUGAGGCUCCAGGGGCCGUACCCAACAUCGUGGUGAUGGUGCAGGGGAGGGCAGGCGUGUCGGCCCCGGGUCUCUCCCUCCACUCUUGGCUGAGUGAGCCCAGGGGCCCUGACCCUCCUCCUGUCCUGCAGCCAACAAGACCCCUGACAAGCUGCAGCAGGCAGCCCUGCCCCUCCUGUCCAAUGCCGAAUGCAAGAAGUCCUGGGGCAGGAGGAUCACUGACGUGAUGAUCUGUGCCGGGGCCAGUGGCGUCUCCUCCUGCAAGGGUGACUCUGGAGGCCCCCUGGUCUGCCAGAAGGAUGGAGCCUGGACCCUGGUGGGCAUUGUGUCCUGGGGCAGCCGCACCUGCUCUACCACCACGCCCGCUGUGUACGCCCGUGUCACCAAGCUCAUACCCUGGGUGCAGAAGAUCCUGGCCGCCAACUGAGCCCGCAGCUCCUGCCACCCCUGC
rnacentral:sRNA from 1 species